rnacentral:rRNA from 1 species
GACGAACGCUGGCGGCGUGCUUAACACAUGCAAGUCGAACGGAAAGGCCCCUUUUGGGGUACUCGCGUGGCGAACGGGCGAGUAACACGUGCGUAACCUGCCCUUGACUUCGGGUUAACUUCAGGAAACUGGGGCUAAUACCGGCUAGGAAUCCUUGCUGCAUGGUGGGGGUUGGAAAGCUUCGGCGGUUUUGGAUGGACUCGCGGCUUAUCAGCUUGUUGGUGGGGUAGUGGCUUACCAAGGCUUUGUCGGGUAGCCGGCCUGAGUGGGCGACCGGCCACAUUGGGACUGGGAUACGGCCCAGACUCCUACGGGGGGCAGCAGGGGGGAAGAUUGCACAAUGGGCGGAAGCCUGAUGCAGCAACGCCGCGGGCGGGAGGACGGCCUUCGGGUUGGAAACCGCUUUCAGCAGGGGCGAAGCUUGUGGUGACGGUACCUGCAGAAGAAGCACCGGCUAACUACGUG